CUUUUUAAAACCAGAAGUACAUCCCCCCUGAAAUAACUUGGAAACCUCCUCGUUGUGAAGUCUACAGGGACGUCAAAAAACCACAGCUAUCUGUUCCCCAGCUGUAUCUUCUUCUUUAUCCCUUGGAACAUUUGUAGCUGCACUUCCUACAAGAAGGGACCAUUUGUAAUCAUGAGCAAAGAUUGAUUCAACAUUUUACUGAAGGUAAGUCCCAUGAUGUCUAUGGACUUCAGUUUCCAGACAUGAAAUGCAAGAGGCUUGGAUGAGUUAGAAAUCAAGAAUUUGAAUGCGUAUGGUCAGAGCCAUGAGGAAUGCUCUACUGGACAGUCAGCUUUUGGGGGGUAAGCAAUUCAUCCUAAUUAUUUUUGUGUUCCUAACAUA